rnacentral:lncRNA from 1 species
GAAGAAUCUACUGGGGUUGUUCUCCCCUUGCCCUGGGGAAUCCAGUGAGGCCCAGCUAGGGGAAGCCGGAACACGAUGGCUUCUGCUCUGUCUAGGCCUGAGGACACACUCUCCAACCUGAGCCAGACUGCCAGGGAAACUCAUAAGGGCUUCCUGCAGGAGGUAAUACCUUAACUGGGUCUCUGAAGCCUGUAGAAAUUA